rnacentral:rRNA from 1 species
AGAACGAACGCUGGCGGCAUGCCUAAUACAUGCAAGUCGAACGAACUCUUCGGAGUUAGUGGCGCACGGGUGCGUAACGCGUGGGAAUCUGCCCCUUGGUUCGGAAUAACAGUUGGAAACGACUGCUAAUACCGGAUGAUGACGAAAGUCCAAAGAUUUAUCGCCAAGGGAUGAGCCCGCGUAGGAUUAGCUAGUUGGUGAGGUAAAGGCUCACCAAGGCAACGAUCCUUAGCUGGUCUGAGAGGAUGAUCAGCCACACUGGGACUGAGACACGGCCCAGACUCCUACGGGAGGCAGCAGUAGGGAAUAUUGGACAAUGGGCGAAAGCCUGAUCCAGCAAUGCCGCGUGAGUGAUGAAGCCUUAGGUGUAAAGCUCUUUACCGAGAUGAUAAUGACAGUAUCGGGAAGAAUAACGCCCCGGACUAAACUCCGUGCCCAAGCCAGCCGAC